GAGUUUGAUCCUGGUUCAGAUUGAACGCUGGCGGCAUGCUUUACACAUGCAAGUCGAACGGCAGCACGGACUUCGGUCUGGUGGCGAGUGGCGAACGGGUGAGUAAUACAUCGGAACGUGCCCAGUUGUGGGGGAUAACUACUCGAAAGAGUAGCUAAUACCGCAUGAGAACUGAGGUUGAAAGCAGGGGAUCGUAAGACCUUGCGCAACUGGAGCGGCCGAUGGCAGAUUAGGUAGUUGGUGGGAUAAAAGCUUACCAAGCCGACGAUCUGUAGCUGGUCUGAGAGGACGACCAGCCACACUGGGACUGAGACACGGCCCAGACUCCUACGGGAGGCAGCAGUGGGGAAUUUUGGACAAUGGGCGAAAGCCUGAUCCAGCAAUGCCGCGUGCAGGAUGUAGGCCUUCGGGUUGUAAACUGCUUUUGUACGGAACGAAAAGCUUCGGGUUAAUACCCUGGAGUCAUGACGGUACCGUAAGAAUAAGCACCGGCUAACUACGUGCCAGCAGCCGCGGUAAUAC
rnacentral:rRNA from 1 species